CGAGGGGCAGCAUGGUCUUAGCUUGCUAAGACUGAUGGCGACCGGCGCACGGGUGCGUAACGCGUAUGCAACUUGCCUCACAGAGGGGGAUAACCCGUCGAAAGACGGACUAAUACCGCGUACACUCCAUCUUGGGCAUCCAAGGAGGAGGAAAUGAAAUUCGCUGUGAGAUAGGCAUGCGUCCCAUUAGCUAGUUGGUGAGGUAACGGCUCACCAAGGCGACGAUGGGUAGGGGAACUGAGAGGUUGAACCCCCACACUGGUACUGAGACACGGACCAGACUCCUACGGGAGGCAGCAGUGAGGAAUAUUGGUCAAUGGGCGAGAGCCUGAACCAGCCAAGUCGCGUGAAGGAUGACUGUCUUAUGGAUUGUAAACUUCUUUUAUACGGGAAUAACAAGAGUCACGUGUGGCUCCCUGCAUGUACCGUAUGAAUAAGCAUCGGCUAACUCCGUGCCAGCAGCCGCGGUAAUACGGAGGAUGCGAGCGUUAUCCGGAUUUAUUGGGUUUAAAGGGUGCGUAGGCGGCCUGUUAAGUCAGCGGUGAAAUCUAGGAGCUUAACUCCUAAAUUGCCAUUGAAACUGGCGGGCUUGAGUGUAGAUGAGGUAGGCGGAAUGCGUGGUGUAGCGGUGGAAUGCAUAGAUAUCACGCAGAACUCCAAUUGCGAAGGCAGCUUACUAAGGUACAACUGACGCUGAAGCACGAAAGCGUGGGUAUCAAACAGGAUUAGAUACCCUGGUAGUCCACGCAGUAAACGAUGAUAACUGGGCGUAUGCGAUAUACAGUAUGCUCCUAA
rnacentral:rRNA from 1 species